AAAGACUGCCAUCUAAUACAUCUAAUCUAUCUAAUACAUACAUAUACUGUUGGGAAUCCGGUACUCGCCCCGUUAUCGGAUCUUGUGAAUCUGCAACCCGCUCUGAUACUGACUGCUGUGGAUCCGGUACCGAUUGUUGGAAUUCCGCAACGUAAUCGUCAAAUCGGAUUUUUCACAUAAACUUAUCUCUUCAGCAAAAACUGAUACAAUCACAAAAGAGAGAAAAAUUAAAACAAAAAAUAUGCGAGUAAAAUAAAAUUCAUUAAAUAAGAGAAGAUUACACCCGACUCUUCUUCUGCAUAGAAUAGCUACAACCCAAGCUCUCUUUCUGAAUCUUUUCUACCCUUCUCUCGUCUUCUAUAAAUCCACAAAAAGGACAACUCUCUUUUUUUUUCUCUUAUACGCACCCGU
rnacentral:lncRNA from 1 species